AGAGUUUGAUCAUGGCUCAGGACGAACGCUGGCGGCGUGCUUAACACAUGCAAGUCGAACGGAGAUUUAGAAGAGCUUGCUCUUCGAAGAUUUUAGUGGCGGACGGGUGAGUAACGCGUGGGUAACCUGCCCUUAAGAGGGGGAUAACACCGCGAAAGUGGUGCUAAUACCGCAUGAAACUAUUGAGUAGCAUUACUUAAUAGUCAAAGGAGUAAUCCGCUUAAGGAUGGACCCGCGUCUGAUUAGCUAGUUGGUGGGGUAACGGCCUACCAAGGCGACGAUCAGUAGCCGGCCUGAGAGGGUGAACGGCCACACUGGGACUGAGACACGGCCCAGACUCCUACGGGAGGCAGCAGUGGGGAAUCUUCCGCAAUGGACGAAAGUCUGACGGAGCAACGCCGCGUGAGUGAUGAAGGCCUUCGGGUUGUAAAACUCUGUCCUUAGGGAAGAAAAAAAUGACGGUACCUAUGGAGGAAGCCCCGGCUAACUACGUGCCAGCAGCCGCGGUAAUACGUAGGGGGCAAGCGUUGUCCGGAAUCAUUGGGCGUAAAGAGCAUGUAGGCGGGAAUUUAAGUCAGAUGUGAAAACUUGGGGCUCAACCCCAAGGUUGCACCUGAUACUGGAUUUCUUGAGGGUAUGAGAGGAAAGCGGAAUUCCUAGUGUAGCGGUGAAAUGCGUAGAUAUUAGAGGAACACCAGUGGCGAAGCGGCUUUCUGGCAUACAACUGACGCUGAGAUGCGAAAGCGUGGGGAGCAAACAGAUUAGAUACCCUGGUAGUCCACGCCGUAAACGAUGGGUACUAGUGUAGAGUAUCGACCCUUCUGGUGCCGCAGUUACACAUUUAAGUUACCCCGCCUGGGG
rnacentral:rRNA from 1 species